rnacentral:rRNA from 1 species
AUUGAACGCUGGCGGCAGGCCUAACACAUGCAAGUCGAGCGAGCGGCGGACGGGUGAGUAACGUAUGGGGACCUGCCCGAUAGAGGGGGAUAACUACUGGAAACGGUGGCUAAUACCGCAUACUAUUGGCUGAACCCAUCUGGGAUUAGCUAGUAGUUGGGGUAAAGGCUCACCUAGGCCACGAUCGCUAGCUGGUCUGAGAGGGUGAUCAGCCACACUGGGACUGAGACACGGCCCAGACUCCUACGGGAGGCAGCAGUGGGGAAUAUUGCGCAAUGGGCGAAAGCCUGAUGCAGCCAUGCCGCGUGUAGGAAGAAGGCCUUAGGGUUGUAAAGUACUUUCAGCGGGGAGGCGUUACCCGAAGAGAAAGCACCGGCUAACUCCGUGCCAGCAGCCGCGGUAAUAC